UAGUUGACGUUUUUGCUAAUGAAAAGAUUAAAUCAAAUGCAUUCGCGGAAAGAUGGAAAAAAUUAAAAUUCUAAAUGAAUUCGGGAACGUAUCUCAAUCGGUAAUCAAGAAACUAACAAAAUAUGCAAAGCCAAAAUUUAGAGUUUUCAUUCUACCCACCAUUACCACAGCGCUAAUGAAGUCUUUCGUGCUUGGAGUUGUAAUCUACGGCACCCAUGAGGCAAAAGUUUGGGGAACGACCAAUGAAACGGCUGAUCUUUGGAUGAAAAUAUUUAAAUCACAUAAGACGUAAAACAAGUACAAGACGAUUUUCUGUAAGAAUUUCUUUACAUUGUCGAGAUCGAAAUAGAGUUUACGUGUUUCCAUUAGAAAAAAUGAAUGUAGCCCCACGCAUUGAAUAAAAACUUUAAAGCAAUA